CCUUUAGUUUUGAGGUUGGUGUACUGUGUGUGAGUAUACAUAUUUAUCACACACAGUCACCAUCUUCGAAAGUGAGGGUGC
rfam:Mesocricetus auratus contig190084, whole genome shotgun sequence.